rnacentral:rRNA from 1 species
GUCUAUGGCCACACCACCCUGAACAUGCCUGAUCUUGGCAGCAAAGCAGGGUCCAGCCUGGUUAGUACUUGGAUGGGAGACCACCUAGGAAUACCAGGUGCCGUAGGCA